GAUGAACGCUGGCGGCGUGCCUUAGGCAUGCAAGUCGAACGGGAGCAGUAAUGCUUCAGUGGCAGACGGGUGAGUAACGCGUAGGAAUCUACCUCUAGGUGGGGCAUAGCUGAUCGAAAGGUCAGGUAAUACCCCAUAGUUCUCGUAAGAGUAAAGGACUUAACGGUCCGCCAAGAGAGGAGCCUGCGUCCUAUCAGCUUGUUGGUGGGGUAAGAGCCUACCAAGGCAAUGACGGGUAGCUGGACUGAGAGGUCGAUCAGCCACAACUGCACUGAGACACGGGCAGUACACCUACGGGAGGCUG
rnacentral:rRNA from 1 species